GCAAUUGACGGUACUGCAAUAGCCAUCAUCGCCCCGAGUCGCAGUGACCCCCGCUUUGUUGAUGGGAAUUAUUAUUCCCACAAGGGAUACCAUGCCCUCAACGUGCUAGGGAUCUGUGAUGCCAAUCGCAGAUUUCUUCACAUUGACGCCACGUACCCAGGGAGCUGCCACGACUCCUCAGUGUGGAGCAUGUGCGAAGUCCGUCUGCGAGCACCGACGACAUUUGCUGAGGGCGAGUGGCUGUUAGGAGAUCUGGGGUACCCUCUUGAACCGUGGCUCUCGACUCCUGUU